rnacentral:rRNA from 1 species
GACGAACCGUGCAAACGUUGUUCGGAAUCACUGGGCUUAAAGGGCGCGUAGGCGGCUUAUCAAGUCGGUGGUGAAAUACUUCAGCUUAACUGGAGAAGUGCCUUCGAUACUGGUGGGCUUGAGGGAGGUAGGGGUCUGUGGAACUUCUGGUGGAGCGGUGAAAUGCGUUGAUAUCAGAAGGAACGCCGGUGGCGAAAGCGACGGACUGGACCUCUUCUGACGCUGAGGCGCGAAAGCUAGGGGAGCAAACGGG